rnacentral:rRNA from 1 species
UACGUAGGCAGCGAGCGUUGUUCGGAGUUACUGGGCGUAAAGAGUGCGUAGGCGGUUUUCUAAGUUUGGUGUGAAAUCUCCCGGCUUAACUGGGAGGGUGCGCCGAAUACUGAGCGACUAGAGUGCGGGAGAGGAAAGUGGAAUUCCUGGUGUAGCGGUGAAAUGCGUAGAUAUCAGGAGGAACACCGGUGGUGUAGACGGCUUUCUGGACCGUAACUGACGCUGAGACACGAAAGCGUGGGUAGCAAACAGG